GCUUAACGCGAAGAACCUUACCCGGGCUUGAAUGCAGUGCGACAGGGGCGGAAACGCCCCCUUCUUCGGACGCAUUGCAAGGUGCUGCAUGGUUGUCGUCAGCUCGUGCCGUGAGGUGUCAGGUUAAGUCCUAUAACGAGCGCAACCCCUGCCGUUAGUUGCCAGCGAGUCAAGUCGGGAACUCUAACGGGACUGCCGGUGCAAACCGUGAGGAAGGUGGGGAUGACGUCAAAUCAUCACGGCCCUUACGUCCUGGGCCACACACGUGCUACAAUGGCAGGUACAAUGGGCAGCCACUGCGCAAGCAGGCGCGAAUCCACAAAACCUGUCUCAGUUCGGAUCGGGGUCUGCAACUCGACCCCGUGAAGCUGGAAUCGCUAGUAAUCGGAUAUCAGCCAUGAUCCGGUGAAUACGUUCCCGGGUCUUGUACACACCG
rnacentral:rRNA from 1 species